UGCCAGCAGUUGCGGUUAUACAGUAUGAUUUAAUUAACAAUUUUAAGUUGUAAGUUAAUUUUGUUGUUUAUAAUUAUUUUUGUUUUAAUUUAAGGUGAAAUUUUAUUAUAUGUUAUGGUGGAUGAUACUUGAAGAUUUAUUAUUAGAUAAGGAUUAGAUACCCUGGUAUUGUAGUUGUUAAUUUUUAUACUUUAUGAUUAUUAGUUAUGUUCUUUAAAAUAAAAGAUUUUGGCGGUAAUAUAUCUUUUUAGAGGAAUCUGUCUCGUAAUCGAUAAUCCACGAUGGAUUGUACUUUGAUUAUAUUACUUGUAUACCUCUAUUGAUGAGUGUUUUAAUAGGUUUAGAAUUCUCAUAAAUUAUUAAUAGUAAUUUAUUUUAGGUCAAGGUGUAGUUAUAUUAGAGUGAGGGUGGAUUACAUUGUUUGUAUUUAUAGUAGUUUUAAUGGAAUUUAAAACUUAAAUUGGAUUUAAUUGUAAUUUUUAAUUAAUAUAUUUUUUUGAUUUAAGCUCUAUGUUAUGCACACAUCGCCCGUCGCUCCCAAUAAUUGGGAUAAGUCGUAACAAAGUAGGCCCGCUGGAAGGGGGGCCUGGUUAGUUGAAGUUGGUUUGAUUUAUUUAUAAAUGAAGUUUAUACUACAACUUU
rnacentral:rRNA from 1 species